UCGGAUCUUGAGUCAUGCUAUUUUUAAGGCCACAUCACAAACUGCUCAGAAUGGUUUGGAGGGUUUGAUAAAUGGAAAUAGAAGUGAAGAGGGAGUCAUGAUGGUUUCAAGCUCGAGGGAAACCUGCAGGUCCUUCAGCCAAUCAUAUGUGCCUCCUGGGGUGUAUCAACAUUAUUACCCCCUCCCAGAUGCUGCUACACCAUGGUACCACCUCCAUAUACGGUGAUGAACGAUCAAUCUUACAUGCAACCAUUACAUUAUUCACAAAAUCGAGCUCUACCUCCCAGAAAUGCCCAUCAUUACCAAACUCCAUAUAAUCCUCAACCAAAUGAUCCCCAAUACAAUCCUCGCCCAAGAGAGUGUUUCAGAAAGAAUCAGUUUACCCCUAUUGGUGAAAAAUGAAAUGAAAAAAAAAAGAUGAGAAAGAAAUUCAAAAGG
rnacentral:lncRNA from 1 species